GACGAACGCUGGCGGCGUGCCUAAUACAUGCAAGUAGAACGCACAGUUUAUACCGUAGCUUGCUACACCAUAGACUGUGAGUUGCGAACGGGUGAGUAACGCGUAGGUAACCUGCCUGGUAGCGGGGGAUAACUAUUGGAAACGAUAGCUAAUACCGCAUAAUAUUGAUUAUUGCAUGAUAAUUGAUUGAAAGAUGCUAUUGCAUCACUACCAGAUGGACCUGCGUUGUAUUAGCUAGUAGGUGAGGUAACGGCUCACCUAGGCGACGAUACAUAGCCGACCUGAGAGGGUAAUCCGCCACACUGGGACUGGGACACGGCCCAGACUCCUACGGGAGGCAGCAGUAGGGAAUCUUCGGCAAUGGACGAAAGUCUGAACGAGCAACGCCGCGUGAGGGAAGAAGGUUUUCGGAUCGUAAAGAUCUGUUGUAAGAGAAGAACGGGUGUGAGAGUGGAAAGUUCACACUGUGACGGUAUCUUACCAGAAAGGGACGGCUAACUACGUG
rnacentral:rRNA from 1 species